rnacentral:rRNA from 1 species
GAUGAACGCUGGCGGCGUGCUUAACACAUGCAAGUCGAACGGGAAACCUUUUAUUGAAGCUUCGGCAGAUUUAGCUGGUUUCUAGUGGCGGACGGGUGAGUAACGCGUGGGUAACCUGCCUUAUACAGGGGGAUAACAGUCAGAAAUGGCUGCUAAUACCGCAUAAGCGCACAGAGCUGCAUGGCUCAGUGUGAAAAACUCCGGUGGUAUAAGAUGGACCCGCGUUGGAUUAGCUGGUUGGUGGGGUAACGGCCCACCAAGGCGACGAUCCAUAGCCGGCCCGAGAGGGUGAACGGCCACAUUGGGACUGAGACACGGCCCAGACUCCUACGGGAGGCAGCAGUGGGGAAUAUUGCACAAUGGGGGAAACCCUGAUGCAGUGACGCCGCGUGAAGGAAGAAGUAUCUCGGUAUGUAAACUUCUAUCAGCAGGGAAGAUAAUGACGGUACCUGACGAAGAAGCCCCGGCUAACUACGUG